AGCCAGCCUGGCUUCCUAGGGGAGGUGGCAGUGGCCCCCUGGGCAGCACAGACAGGGCUUUGUGUUGGCAGUGGGCAGGCGCUCUGAGCUUGCUCCGUGCCGCGCUCUUUUCUGCAGCCAGCAGCAGUUUCAACAAUAGCCAGAGUCAAUAGCUUUGUGAACAGUGAGCCCAGCAGCACGGGCACAGGGCCCCUUUGUUCCCUGGCCUUUGGGACACAUCCCUUCUGAGCCACUGGUGCAUUGAGAGAGGAGUGCUGGGUGACACUGGGCUUCAUGGCACCUCGGAUGCCUGUAUGGCCCUGUGUGCACCUCCUGGGAUGAGUUGGAGCUGAGCCCUGUGUAUCUCCAGGGGGUUGCUCUGUUGGGCCAGCUCUUCUCAGCUCCCCCAGCGCUGAGCAGCUCGGGCUCCCACAUGCUGAUGGUGAGAUUAGGGCUAACUGGAUGGAGCAGUCUGCUUGGCAGCCAGCCUCACCAUCAAGGUGGCACAGCUUGGGGGGUGCAGCAUCCUGGCACCAGCAAUGCCACACUGGUGUGCAGUGGGUGCCUUGGGACGGUUUGGUGAUGGCUGGGGGCACAGAUCGGGCUGCUGCAGGGACCUGGCAUUGCUGUCACCCUUCUCUCACUCCCACCCAGCAUCCGAGCCCUCCUCCCAGCUGAGAUAGGGGCACUCUGCCCAGGCCCUCCCCUCCCUCCCAAAGGCAGGCAGGAGCCCUGGGCCUCCCCUCGUGACUGCGAUAAACAUUACACCGAGGCCGUUAAUGUUUAAUGAGGUUUGCCUCCCAAUUACCAUGCUUUCCCCUGGGUGCCCACUCCCAGUGCCAGACGCCCGUUGGACGGCACGCCGACACGAUGGGGGACGAGCAAGCACCCGAGCAGGGCCCAGACAGGUUCACCUACGACUAUGAGACCAUCCGCAACGGGGGGCUGAUCUUCGCCGUCGUGGCUUUUGUGGUCGGGCUCCUCAUCAUCCUCAGUAAGUGCUGCCCUGCACGGGGCUCUUCUCUGCUCCCGGGGUGUCAGCCCUGCUGCCAGGGUGGGCAUCGCCUGCAGCCGCCUGAGAAAUUUCUACCCAGGCCAACUCCCAGCACAAAGUGAGUUGGGAAGGAGACGGUGUAAAUAUUUAGCGUUUCCCUGCCAGCGUCAAAGGCUUCGGAGGGAAGGUCAGUCAUUAAAAAUAGCAGAGAAAAAGUCUGACAUUUCCCUAGAGAGAAAGCAGCAUUCCCACAGCCCUUGGCAGCUCCCAGGGAUGUGGUGCCAAGCGUGCAGGGCUCUUUGCAGAGCUGCCCUUACGACGACAUUCCCGAAUGCUUUAGGGAGAAAGAUAAGCAAAGCUCCUGCAUCUGUAGGAGCAGCCUGGGGAGGCAGAUGGGCACCCAGGAGAGCACUCAGGCGUUGCUGGGCAGCAACGGGAGCUCAGAGGAGGGACAGCCCUGCAGUCUUCAUCAGGGCAGGGAGAUGGGGAGGGGGCUGUGGGCACAAGAAGCCUCAGCUGCUCCUCUCACCCCCAGGCCGGCGGUUCCACUGCGGAGGGAAGAAGAAGAGGAGACAAGGAAAUGAGGAGGACCUGUAGCUGCAGAGUUGCUGUGGGAGGAGAUCUUCAUCCACAGGUGAAGUCCUUGCCAAGGGCCACCUCUUGCCCCGCUCCAAUGCAUCCAUUCAUUAUCCUGCUCACCCUGGGCAAGGCUGGGAUGCUAAUUGCCCUCGUGCUUUUCCCUCUGGUAGAUCCAGUGAGUGUUUCUUAGCUAAUAAAGUUCCAGCUGAGAGAGGUUAAACUUUGUGCCCAAGACAUUCUGAAUUGCCCACUCUCUUGGCCCAGCACCAAUGAAUUUCUGCCCUGCAGGCAUCUUCCAACACAGACCCAGCACGGCCCAGUGGCACAGAGUAACCCCAUCUGCAUUGGGGUUCCCUACAGAAGGGAAGGAUGUCCCCCACCCCAGUGCCUUCCUGCCCAGCAUGAGGGCUGGCUGCAGGGCCCAAAUUUUCAGCACGUGCCUCCCCAUGGGUUGCACUGCCUGGGUUUUGUGGCUGGUGUCAUGCACACACGGGCAGUGCUGUUGGGGAGGGGCUGUCAGUGCGCUUGCUUAUCUCGGACCGCUUGCUCCAAACAUCCUUCCUGCGCACGGACAGGAAACCAUUUGUGCAUUGGUUUCACAUCUUUGGAUGCAAACCAAAAAAUCCCUUUCCUGCAAUUGGUGAGCGAGGCGUGCAGCUGGCUGUGAGCGUCUGUGCUGGACCAAGGCAGACACCUAGCGACCGCCGUGCAGCGUGCUGCUGCUGCGCUGUGCUCUGCUGCUCUGACCCUGGACUGCAUGCAGCCCCACAGUGCUGCCCCUG